rnacentral:tmRNA from 4 species
GGGAGCGAUCGGCUUCGACGUUGUUCUUAGCUAAUUAGAUGCUGGGAGUGGACGGCUUGUUUAACCACUAUAAAACACCGGCCAAUCAAAAUAGGUGCAAAUUAUUCACCUAAUUACGCUUUCGCUUAAGUAAUUUUGCGAAGCCGUUCUGUCUGCGAUGCUCGCUAGCAGAAUCAGGACGUCAUUAGCGAGCUGGGCAGCCCGUUUUGUUUUCUCGCGACGCUGCCGAGAAAUUAGAGGAGACUAGCUCAAAGUAAUUUUGUUGAUUUCACAUCUCUGGGCGAAAUAAUCAAAUCAGAUAUCCCGGUACACAUCUAUUGGCGCGAACUGCGGACUGGGGUUCAAUUCCCCACGCUUCCACAA